rnacentral:rRNA from 1 species
CCUACGGGUGGCAGCAGUGAGGAAUAUUGGUCAAUGGACGCAAGUCUGAACCAGCCAUGCCGCGUGCAGGAAGACGGCUCUCUGAGUUGUAAACUGCUUUUGUACGAGGGUAAACGCAGAUACGCGUAUAUGUCUGACAGUAUCGCACGAAUAAGGAUCGGCCAACUCCGUGCCAGCAGCCGCGGUAAUACGGAGGAUUCAAGCGUUAUCCGGAUUUAUUGGGUUUAAAGGGUGCGUAGGCGGUCGGAUAAGUUAGAGGUGAAAUCCCGAGGCUCAACUUCGGAAUUGCCUCUGAUACUGUGCGGCUAGAGAGUAGUUGCGGUAGGCGGAAUGUAUGGUGUAGCGGUGAAAUGCUUAGAGAUCAGACAGAACACCGAUGGCGAAGGCAGCUUACCAAGCUACUUCUGACGUUGAGGCACGAAAGCGUGGGGAGCAAACAGGAUUAGAUACCCUUGUAGUC